CAGUAGCCACGGUAAUACGGAGGGAGCUAGCGUUGUUCGGAAUUACUGAGCGUAAAGCGCACGUAGGCGGCUUUGUAAGUCAGAGGUGAAAGCCUGGAGCUCAACUCCAGAACUGCCUUUGAGACUGCAUCGCUUGAAUCCAGGAGAGGUGAGUGGAAUUCCGAGUGUAGAGGUGAAACUCGUAGAUAUUCGGAAGAACACCAGUGGCGAAGGCGGCUCACUGGACUGGUAUUGACGCUGAGGUGCGAAAGCGUGGGGAGCAAACAGGAUUAGAUACCCGUGUAGUCCCUGUCUCUUAUAC
rnacentral:rRNA from 1 species